UGGGUGGCUAAUCUGACACUCCAGCUUUCUCAGAAACAUGGUUCUGGAACGGGCCAGAGUCCCAAGGCCUUGAGCCGCGUGUUGCGGGAGACCAGACCUACUCCAGGGAUACACAUAGCUGGGUGCUCCAGACUGGGCAUCUUUCUUGCCAUCAAGCUCCUCAGCAUCCUGCAACUUGAAAAACACUUUACAGAAGCCCUUCCCCACGCUGGUAUUUCGACUCCACCAGACAAUCAAGUUAGUCCCCUCUCUCACCUAUUACCCUAUUCCCAUAAAGUCUGGGGAGGGGUUAGUUUAGAGAAAGGUGUGUUUGGCUUGAGGGGUUGGGAGCGAGCAUACGGCCCUGACAGAGGAAGGCGGGGCGGGAAAUUUAGGAUAUCUGUCUCUGUAACUCCCAAAUACCAAACCGUGAGAUUUUUUUUCUGAAAAUUCAGAGGAGGCUGACAGGAGUACUCCCUCGUCCUUUAAACCUGGCAGUAAGGAAGCUGCCCGGGAAACCUGAAGUAAGGUUGGAAGUGCACAGAGUCUCCGCGUUUGGGCUCAGCCUCUUACCAUAAUAAAGUGUGGGUGGCUCAAAAUGGUCUUUGCAGUUUUCGGUAGCGCCCUUGACCCACGAGUAACCUACACAAGAAAGGCGAAGUGGCUACUUAACUCACAGGUCGCAGCUCCCUUCUAGGAUUCCGGGACAGCUGCUAGCGACACCCAGCGUGCCUGCCUCCUCCCUACCUUCUUUGGAGCCUGAUCCCUAGUUUGAGCCCCAGCAACCACCUUCAGAUCCUCGGGCUAGGCCCUGCCGCUGCAGAGAGCAUCGUGGAGGUGUUGAGCCCGCGUGUAGUGACCUCAGCAGGGGCAGGAGAGAGCAGCCGUUUGUUUCCAGGAGCUUUAUGUAACCUCAGUACAAACUGGAGCACCAAGAUCUGCAGGCUUUACCUCAAGAAUAUCAGCAUCGGAAGCCCUUCCCCUGACCCCCAAGGGCUUCAGGGAGUAUCUGGAAGCUUUCAGGGUGUGACUGCUGUCUUAAGACAGCAUUGAAGAGGAGCAAUGGCAAGGAGUAGGGGGAUGGCCUAAAGUAAAGUACUAUGAUGGGUGUGUAUGAAAUGCAGUGAUGAAAUCCACUAUUCUGUAUGCUAACUAAACAUUUUAAUAAAGGAAGAAAAACAA